AGUGAACGCUGGCGGUAGGCCUAACACAUGCAAGUCGAACGGCAGCACAGUAAGAGCUUGCUCUUACGGGUGGCGAGUGGCGGACGGGUGAGGAAUACAUCGGAAUCUACUUUUUCGUGGGGGAUAACGUAGGGAAACUUACGCUAAUACCGCAUACGACCUACGGGUGAAAGCAGGGGAUCUUCGUACCUUGCGCGAUUGAAUGAUCCGAUGUCGGAUUAGCUAGUUGGCGGGGUAAAGGCCCACCAAGGCGACGAUCCGUAGCUGGUCUGAGAGGAUGAUCAGCCACACUGGAACUGAGACACGGUCCAGACUCCUACGGGAGGCAGCAGUGGGGAAUAUUGGACAAUGGGCGCAAGCCUGAUCCAGCCAUACCGCGUGGGUGAAGAAGGCCUUCGGGUUGUAAAGCCCUUUUGUUGGGAAAGAAAAGCAGCAGGUUAAUACCCCGCUGUUCUGACGGUACCCAAAGAAUAAGCACCGGCUAACUUCGUG
rnacentral:rRNA from 1 species